ACUUCAGUUGGUCUUUAUUUAUGGUCUGAAAGUCAUAACCUUUACAAGACAGAACCACAUUUGAAUGAAUUGAGAGCCAGACCUUCACCUCCAACAUCAAUGUCUGACCUCACAAAUUUGCUUUCAGAAUAAUAAAAGUCAUAAACCCCCACCCCAAACCUUGUGGAAAGCCCUCCCAGAAGAGAUAAAGCUGCUGUGUCAGCAAAGGGUGGAUCAACGGCUUAUUAUAGCCCAUUGAUAAACAAUGGCAUGUGAGUCGAGCUUAUACUGCAUUUGUUUGUUUUGUUGUUUUUUUGCUGUCUUCUUUUUUCUUGCAGUUUUGCAUCACGAGGGAACCAAAGAACAGUGAGGUGGUUUUGAAUGCACAGCUUGACGAAGAAAUAAGCCACCGUGGGCCGGAUGUGAUAAGUGAUCUGACUCCCGAGAGCAUCGAGUGACCUCACUAUCCGACUGAAACACCAGCUCCUUACCUCUGCCAACGCUGCGCAGGCUGCACAAGGAGCAACAGUUGAAACCAGGCACGUGCACAGACUGAUGAUCACGCAAGUGGCCUUUCGUCCUGGAUAAGAAAAGUGCCCUUCUGCUGGAGCCAAAUGUUCUCUUCAUUUGCCAAGGUUUCAAAACGAGAAACAGGCCAAACCCGUCUGACCCACAGCAUCAGACAGACAGCUCCUCACCUCACUCAUCUUGAUGAACUGAAACUUCCUGUCAUCGGUGAACAGCGCACGUAGAGUCUGAAAAGUGCAAAGAGAGACGGCGGGGAACAAAGACGCGGGAACUGCUGCAGACGGAGCCGAAAAGCUAUAAGGAAGGUCCUUUUUUAAUAAAGACAGGCUGGAUAAGACUAAUCUUUGUGAUUUUUAUAAUUUUUUUAUUGGUCUUUUCAGACAGCAUUAUGCCAAAACCAAAUUAUUAAAGGGUAAAGCCAAAUUUA